UCCUGGCUCAGGAUGAACGCUAGCGGCAGGCCUAAUACAUGCAAGUCGCGGGGUAAGGCUCUUUCGGGAGCACACGACCGGCGCACGGGUGCGUAACGCGUAUGCAACCUACCUAUAACAAGGGGAUAGCCCGGGGAAACCCGGAUUAAUACCCUAUAAAGCAGGGGUACUGCAUGGUACUAUUUGCUAAAGUUGAGGCGGUUAUAGAUGGGCAUGCGUUAGAUUAGCUAGUUGGUAAGGUAACGGCUUACCAAGGCGACGAUCUAUAGGGGUUCUGAGAGGAAGGUCCCCCACACUGGCACUGAGAUACGGGCCAGACUCCUACGGGAGGCAGCAGUAAGGAAUAUUGGUCAAUGGGCGAGAGCCUGAACCAGCCAUGCCGCGUGCAGGAAGACGGCCUUCUGGGUUGUAAACUGCUUUUAUACGGGAAGAAAAAGGUCUUGCGAGGCUACUUGCCGGUACCGUAUGAAUAAGCACCGGCUAACUCCGUGCCAGCAGCCGCGGUAAUACGGAGGGUGCAAGCGUUGUCCGGAUUUAUUGGGUUUAAAGGGUGUGUAGGCGGUAGUUUAAGUCAGUGGUGAAAGUCUUGAGCUUAACUGAAGAAGUGCCAUUGAAACUGGAUUACUAGAGUAUAGUCGAGGUAGGCGGAAUUUAUGGUGUAGCGGUGAAAUGCAUAGAUACCAUAAAGAACACCGAUAGCGAAGGCAGCUUACUAGGCUAUAACUGACGCUGAGGCACGAAAGCAUGGGUAUCGAACAGGAUUAGAUACCCUGGUAGUCCAUGCUGUAAACGAUGCUCACUAGCUGUUGGCGAUAUAAGUUCAGCGGCUUAGCGAAAGCGAUAAGUGAGCAACCUGGGGAGUACG
rnacentral:rRNA from 1 species